ACAAUGCGGGACUAUCAGUCUUGCAAUUGGAUUGAGAACAAUGUACAACUCUUAUCGAUAAGCCAUUGGAGGGCAAGUCUGGUGCCAGCAGCCGCGGUAAUUCCAGCUCCAAUAGCGUAUAUUAACGUUGUUGCAGUUAAAAAGCUCGUAGUUGAAGUGUGGGUGAUCGCUGUUGUGAGACUUCGGUCUCUCGACAGUAAGUCACCCCCUUCCAGUAUCCAGUAGUGGGUAUUCACUUACUUACUAUUGUGUGUUGGUCGUUUACUGUGAGAAAAUUAGAGUGUUCAAAGCAGGCGUUUGCUUGAAUAGAUUAGCAUGGAAUAAUAAUUGAAGGCUUUCGUGUUCGAUUUGAUUGGUUUGUUCAUGGAAGCAAGGUUAAAAGGAACAGUUGGGGGUAUUCAUAUUCACUAGUUAGAGGUGAAAUUCUCGGAUUUAUGGAA
rnacentral:rRNA from 1 species